rnacentral:rRNA from 1 species
ACACCUACGGGGGGCAGCAGUGGGGAAUAUUGGGCAAUGGGCGCAAGCCUGACCCAGCAACGCCGCGUGAAGGAAGAAGGCUUUCGGGUUGUAAACUUCUUUUAAGAGGGAAGAGAAGAAGACGGUACCUCUUGAAUAAGCCACGGCUAACUACGUGCCAGCAGCCGCGGUAAUACGUAGGUGGCAAGCGUUAUCCGGAUUUAUUGGGUGUAAAGGGCGUGUAGGCGGGAGCGCAAGUCAGAUGUGAA